AAGUUGUUGCGGUUAAAAGCUCGUAGUUGGAUUUCUGUUGAAGACGGCCCGUCCGCUCUAUGAGCGUGUAUCUGGUUCGGCUUUGGCAUCCUCGUGGGGAACGUAACUGUGCUUGAUUGCAUGGUGCGGAAUUCACGACUUUUAGGGGGGGGAAAUGAGAGUGUUCACGGCAGGCAAGCGCCUUGAAUAUAUUAGCAUGGAAUAAUAAUAUAGGACUUUGGUUCUAUUUUGUUGGUUUCUAGGACUAAAGUAAUGAUUAAUAGGGAUAAUUGGGGGCAUUUGUAUUAACGCGUCAGAGGUGGAAUUCUUUUAUUGCGUUACGACAACCUACUGCGAAAGCAUUUGCCAAGGAUGUUUUCAUUGAUCAAGAACGAAAGUAUGGGGAUCGAAGAUGAUUAGAUACCGUCGUAGUCUAUGCCAUAAACUAUGCCGACUAGAGAUUGGAGAUAGUUCUUUUUAUGACUUCUUCAGCACCUUAUGAGAAAUCAAAGUCUUUGGGU
rnacentral:rRNA from 1 species